rnacentral:rRNA from 1 species
GACGAACGCUGGCGGCGUGCUUAACACAUGCAAGUCGAACGGAAAGGCCCUGCUUUUGUGGGGUGCUCGAGUGGCGAACGGGUGAGUAACACGUGAGUAACCUGCCUUUGACUUUGGGAUAACUUCAGGAAACUGGGGCUAAUACCGGAUAGGAGCUCCUGCUGCAUGGUGGGGGUUGGAAAGUUUCGGCGGUUGGGGAUGGACUCGCGGCUUAUCAGCUUGUUGGUGGGGUAGUGGCUUACCAAGGCUUUGACGGGUAGCCGGCCUGAGAGGGUGACCGGCCACAUUGGGACUGCGAUACGGCCCAGACUCCUACGGGAGGCAGCAGUGGGGAAUAUUGCACAAUGGGCGGAAGCCUGAUGCGGCAACGCCGCGUGCGGGAUGACGGCCUUCGGGUUGUAAACCGCUUUCGCCUGUGACGAAGCGUGAGUGACGGUAAUGGGUAAAGAAGCACCGGCUAACUACGUG